GUGGGGAAUAUUGGACAAUGGGCGAAAGCCUGAUCCAGCCAUGCUGCGUGAGUGAUGAAGGCCUUAGGGUUGUAAAGCUCUUUCAGUAGGGAAGAUAAUGACGGUACCUACAGAAGAAGCCCCGGCUAACUUCGUGCCAGCAGCCGCGGUAAUACGAAGGGGGCUAGCGUUGUUCGGAUUUACUGGGCGUAAAGCGCACGUAGGCGGAUCGUUAAGUCGAGGGUGAAAUCCUGGAGCUCAACUCCAGAACUGCCUUCGAUACUGGCGAUCUUGAGUCCGGAAGAGGUGAGUGGAACUCCUAGUGUAGAGGUGGAAUUCGUAGAUAUUAGGAAGAACACCAGUGGCGAAGGCGGCUCACUGGUCCGGUACUGACGCUGAGGUGCGAAAGCGUGGGGAGCAAACAGGAUUAGAUACCCGUGUAGUCC
rnacentral:rRNA from 1 species